rnacentral:rRNA from 1 species
GAUGAACGCUGGCGGCGUGCCUAAUACAUGCAAGUCGAGCGAACGGACGAGAAGCUUGCUUCUCUGAUGUUAGCGGCGGACGGGUGAGUAACACGUGGAUAACCUACCUAUAAGACUGGGAUAACUUCGGGAAACCGGAGCUAAUACCGGAUAAUAUUUUGAACCGCAUGGUACAAAAGUGAAAGACGGUCUUGCUGUCACUUAUAGAUGGAUCCGCGCUGCAUUAGCUAGUUGGUAAGGUAACGGCUUACCAAGGCAACGAUGCAUAGCCGACCUGAGAGGGUGAUCGGCCACACUGGAACUGAGACACGGUCCAGACUCCUACGGGAGGCAGCAGUAGGGAAUCUUCCGCAAUGGGCGAAAGCCUGACGGAGCAACGCCGCGUGAGUGAUGAAGGUCUUCGGAUCGUAAAACUCUGUCAUUAGGGAAGAACAUAUGUGUAAGUAACUGUGCACAUCUUGACGGUACCUAAUCAGAAAGCCACGGCUAACUACGUG